GUUUAAUUAAUGUUGUUAACACCCUGAUAUGAUACAUUAGUGACUACUACUAUAAUAGUGACUGAUAGAUUGAAACGAGAAAUGAGUUACAAUUGUAUCUUGAGUCAUAAUGACUCUGCGAUAUAUAUUUUGUUUUUUAUAAUGUAGAUGCCUUGUUGAAUUAAGGCUAAUUCCCUCUAUCAGAAAACUAUAAAGUUGACUUUACUCCUAAUACAUGGUUAAGAAAUAUUCGUUCAAUGUAGGCAAUGGAUCCUUAAGUGGCGUUUUUGAGCUGACAGAUAACCUGUACUGCAUUUAUAUGCAGUCAGGCCGGCCGCGUUACCACAGUAACAGCCAACGCUGUAUGUGUACACGUGGUCUCUAGCUAGACAAGCCUUUAGAAGGAGGAGGGUGUGAUCGGGUUAUAGCUACGCCCCCAGCUAAGCAGAUUGGAACAAGCAACUAUAUGGGCGGCACUUCUCCCGGUAUAAAUUUAC